rnacentral:rRNA from 1 species
AUGCAACCUACCUUAAUCAGGGGGAUAGCCCGAAGAAAUUCGGAUUAACACCGCAUAAAAACACAGAAUAGCAUUAUUCAAUGUUCAAAUAUUUAUAGGAUUAAGAUGGGCAUGCGUGUCAUUAGCUAGUUGGCGGGGUAACGGCCCACCAAGGCGACGAUGACUAGGGGAUCUGAGAGGAUGACCCCCCACACUGGUACUGAGACACGGACCAGACUCCUACGGGAGGCAGCAGUAAGGAAUAUUGGUCAAUGGAGGCAACUCUGAACCAGCCAUGCCGCGUGCAGGAAGACGGCCCUAUGGGUUGUAAACUGCUUUUAUCCGGGAAUAAACCUUUCUACGUGUAGAGAGCUGAAUGUACCGGAAGAAUAAGGAUCGGCUAACUCCGUGCCAGCAGCCGCGGUAAUACGGAGGAUCCAAGCGUUAUCCGGAUUUAUUGGGUUUAAAGGGUGCGUAGGCGGCCUGUUAAGUCAGAGGUGAAAGACGGUAGCUCAACUAUCGCAGUGCCUUUGAUACUGACGGGCUUGAAUGAACUAGAGGUAGGCGGAAUGAGACAAGUAGCGGU